UGGAAACCAUCAUUCUCAGCAAACUCACACAAGAACAGAAACCCAAACACCACAUGUUCUCACUCAUAGGCCCCUAGCUCCUCUGAGGCACGGGAAUAUCCAGUUUCUUCUCCCCUCUGAAGAACCUGCCUGAUAACAACCAUAGUGCUUUAAAUGGCAUCUCCCAAAAGAUAAGUCCGUGCCCUUCUCCCUAAAACCUGGGAAGGUGACUUUAUUUAAAAAAAAAAAAAA
rnacentral:lncRNA from 1 species